rnacentral:rRNA from 1 species
GUACACAAACAUGCCACCCCAAAUGCACUUGAUCUUGUCUGACCUCAGAAGCUAAGCAGGAUUGGGCCCAGCUAGUACUUAGAUGGGAGAUGAGUGAUAAAAUAAUGCUAAAAAUUUAGGGGCUGGGUGCG